rnacentral:rRNA from 1 species
GAUGAACGCUGGCGGCGUGCCUAAUACAUGCAAGUCGAGCGAACGGACGAGAAGCUUGCUUCUCUGAUGUUAGCGGCGGACGGGUGAGCAACACGUGGAUAACCUACCUAUAAGACUGGGAUAACUUCGGGAAACCGGAGCUAAUACCGGAUAAUAUUUUGAACCGCAUGGUUCAAAAGUAAAAGACGGUCUUGCUGUCACUUAUAGAUGGAUCCGCGCUGCAUUAGCUAGUUGGUAAGGUAACGGCUUACCAAGGCAACGAUGCAUAGCCGACCUGAGAGGGUGAUCGGCCACACUGGAACUGAGACACGGUCCAGACUCCUACGGGAGGCAGCAGUAGGGAAUCUUCCGCAAUGGGCGAAAGCCUGACGGAGCAACGCCGCGUGAGUGAUGAAGGUCUUCGGAUCGUAAAACUCUGUUAUUAGGGAAGAACAUAUGUGUAAGUAACUGUGCACAUCUUGACGGUACCUAAUCAGAAAGCCACGGCUAACUACGUG